AUUAGAUACCCUGGGUAGUCCACGCUGUAAACGAUCAAUACUAGGUGUGCGGGGACUGACCCCCUGCGUGCCGGAGUUAACACAAUAAGUAUUGCACCUGGGGAGUACGAUCGCAAGGUUGAAACUCAAAGGAAUUGACGGGGGCCCGCACAAGCGGAGGAACAUGUGGUUUAAUUCCAUGAUACGCGAGGAACCUUACCCGGGCUCAGACGGGAGCGGGACCGGCCGGAGACGGCCGGGUCUACCGACUGCUUCCGAGGUGCUGCAUGGUUGUCGUCAGCUCGUGUCGUGAGGUGUCGGCUUAAGUGCCAUAACGAGCGCAACCCCUGCCGACAGUUGCUAACGGGCAAAGCCGACGACUCUGUCGGGACUGCCGGCGCAAGCCGCGAGGAAGGCGGGGAUGACGUCAAAUCAGCACGGCCCUUACGUCCGGGGCGACACACGUGUUACAAUGGGUGGCACAGAGGGAAGCCAGGCGGCGACGCCGAGCGGAACCCGAAAUCCACUCUCAUUUCGGAUCGGAGUCUGCAACCCGACUCCGCGAAGCUGGAUUCGCUACUAAUCGCGCAUCAGCCAUGGCGCGGUGAAUACAUUCCCGGGCCUUGUACACACCGCCCGUCCAGCCAUGGGAGCCGAGGGCGCUUGAAGUGCGUCGCCGCAAGGCGCGCCCUAGAGCGACAUCGGUGACUGGGGCUGAGUCGUAACAAGGUAAC
rnacentral:rRNA from 1 species